rnacentral:rRNA from 1 species
UGCGUAGGCGGUUUGGAAAGUCAGAUGUGAAAGCCUAUGGCUUAACCAUAGAACUGCAUUUGAAACUUCCAGACUAGAAUACUGAAGGGGCAGAUGGAAUUAGUGGUGUAGGGGUAAAAUCCGUAGAUAUCACUAGGAAUACCGAAAGCGGAAGCGAUCUGCUGGGAAGUUAUUGACGCUGAGGCACGAAAGCGUGGGGAGCAAACG